GGUAUCGAAUAUUUAUUUAUAUAUGUACAUAGGUGAAGCGAUGCCAGUUCCCCUCUGCAAGCUUUUAGUUCAGUUGACGCUAAAAAAUGCCUUCAAAGUAUUGAGAAGAAGACAAAAUAGUGGCGAUGUCAACGAACCAGUCCUGAUUCCUUUUCAUUUCAGCUUCUGGGUAUCAUGCUUGCUAGCCAAUCAUUAAGAUUGGAUGUACAGCGAUCAUAAAGAGUCCAUUUAGCUCUGCAAUACCUUACCUUUUUCCAAAUUUACUUCUAUUACUAAGCAAGUCUUACUUCUUUCUUUUUAUUUUAUUUAGACUUAUUAUUUGAUUAUGCUUUCCUCAAUAUCUAGUGCACUCAUUGUUAAUUUUGUUGCUGUGUUGCGUCUUAAAGUAUUACAUUCUUGAUUGUCAUAUAUGCAGUAUGCAAUUAAGUAUCCAGUUUCAUUGUUAUGCUCAUGUUUUCUUCUUAUUCACAUCCUCCGAUUGAUUUGUUGAACCUUUGAAGUUUGAAAGAGAAUAAUAAUGGGUAGGUAUGGUUAUUUAUUUUUGAUGUCAUUUGUCACUUAGAAAGUGGCUUGAUUGACAAGGACUUUCCCGUUGAUAUGUAUAAUGUUCAAUCAAAAUUGUUUGAGAAAAUUUUAUAUAUUAUGCUCAUUUUUUUUCCCUUAACAUUCACAUCAUCUGAGAUUGAUUUGUCAAAGCUUUGAAUUUUAGAGAGAUUCAACCAUAAUGUAUACUAUGGCUUUUUUUUGUUUGAUGUCACCUCUCCAUUAGAAACUAUUGAUUGGCUAGAUUGGCAAUACCUUUCUGUUGAUAAUAUGCUUAAUAUUCAAACAAAUUGUUUUAGCGAUUUUUUUUUGUUGGAAAAUAAUGUUCACUAGAAGUUUAUUAGAUGAUAGGGAGUUAGUUUAGUAGGUGAAGUCAAAUAGUCACGUUAGCAUCUUGGAACCCAAUCUUAUCAAUCAUGCAGACACAGAACCUGUCAGAUCUACUGGAGGAAUUGCUCAUUUCACAAUGUUGUUUAUUUCUUCAAGCAUAUUAUUUAUGUUAUGCUUAGAAUUGAAAUUUUCUCAUCAUAAAGCUUUGGUGUCCUCCCAGUUUUGAAAUCUGCUGCAUGAUUGAUGUCAUGUCUCUGUUGUCAAAAUUACGUUGCAUCACUGUGGAUGUCACCGGUACGCUCAUAGCUUACAAAGGUGAGCUUGGUGACUACUAUUGCAUGGCAGCAAAAUCUGUUGGACUGCCAUGCCCUGACUACAAGCGUGUACAUGAAGGCUUCAAACUUGCAUAUACAGAUAUGGCCAAAAAGUAUCCAUGUUUUGGGCAUGCAGCAAAAAUGCCUAACAUUGUCUGGUGGAAGAUGUGUGUGAGAAAUUCCUUUAUCAAGGUAUAUAAUUUAGUAAUUAUAUCUAUGGCAAUCCAUGUCUUGAUUAAUGACCUGUUGCUAAUGAUUGUGUGUCACACUGCUUGAUCACAAUGCCAUUAUUUAUUUUUGAAGAGAAGAAACAUUAUAUUUUUCCCUUGCUAGAUGUAACAUCUAUAACCACGGUGGCUCCUGACCUCAUGUAGUUCACAGUGAUAGGGUGACAAUUAGAUACAUAUGAAACACGUUGUUUUAAAGUUGGGUUAAAUAUUUGGGAUAGUUGCCAAAAAAAAUCUAAACUUACCAAAUUUUUGCAAUUCAACCCCAAAUUUUGAAAAUUACCAAUUAAAUCAUAAACUUUGAAAAGAGUUGCAAUUAUACCCUACUAUUUGUUGUACCGUUAAUGGGGUAACAACAUGUCACGUAAGAUUGCCAGCUUAGCGACACGUCAGACGCCAAUUCAGUGCCACGUCAACCAGGGAUGAUUGCCAAAAAAACUUGGAACUUUUCAAAUUGUUGCAAUUUUCAAAGUUUGGAGUAAAUUUGCAAAAUUUUAGAAAGUUCAGGUUCUUUUUUGCCAAUUAUCCCUAAAUAUUUUAUUGUCUGUUUGUGUAUUUCUCUUGGGUUCAACAUAAAUUUUAAGAAAUGAAUUUUGUUUUCUUUCAGGCUGGAUAUGAUUAUGAUGAAGAGACUUUUGAGAAAAUCUUCCGGCGCAUAUAUGCAUCAUUUGGUUCAUCUGUCCCUUAUACUAUAUUUCCAGACUCCCAACCUUUCCUGAGAUGGGCACGUGAAAAGGGACUUCUAGUUGGGCUUGUUAGCAACGCAGAAUACCGUUAUCAGGAUGUGAUCCUUCCAGCCUUGGGUUUGGAUCAGUGUUAGUUAUAUUAUUUAUUCUUUUUAAAUCUUUUAAUUUUUGCUAAGUUUAGAGUUGAUUUUGUAACUGAACAUCUGAUUUUGGUCUGUCUGAUUUUGGUCUGUCUGAUUUGGAAACAUGGACUUGUAUGAAAAACCUUAGGAAAAUACACAUAUGCAAGUAACUAGACAAAUGCUCAAGUAUGUAUGAAGAUCACCAGGAAAAAAUAAAAAAUACAUGUGUGCAUCUUUUUAGGCACUAAACGUUCGAAUGCUUCAAAUUUGAUGCUAUCCUUACAUAACCCAACUGAUAACAAACCUAAUAUGCCAUUAAUAUGAUUGUUCUUUUUUUGAAAUCAGGGGUCAAAGUGGGACUUUGGUGUUUUCUCUGGUCUUGAAGGUGUAGAGAAGCCGGAUCCAAGGAUUUACGAAAUUGCCCUUGAGAGGGCUGGAAAUAUUGCACCAGAAGAAGUUCUGCACAUUGGGGAUAGCAUGCGGAAAGACUACAGGCCGGCAAAGAGUGUGGGGAUGCACGCAUUACUAUUGGAUAGGUUUAAGACUCCAGAUGCUGAGGAGUGGAGAAAAUCUGGUGCAGUUGUGCUUCCUGACUUGGUGUCUGUACAAGAGUUGCUCACCUUAGGGACAUUGACAUGCUGAGGGGCUUAUUUCUUUCCCAAAGCGACCGUUAUGUGCACCUUUUUCCCUCUUGAUAAAUGAAAAUUUCAUACAAUAACUUGCUGGUCUCCAUUUCCUUGAACUUUGAUAAAUUUGUUGUAUUAUCUCAAAAUUAAAACUUUCCGAGAUCUGAGAGGAAAGAGUGAAUGCCAAUUCUGUAAUAGCAGUAUUAAAAAAGCUAAAUCAUUGUCAACUUCUGAAGACGUUUGCAUUUUUGUC
rnacentral:misc_RNA from 1 species